UCCCCCACUCCACCCCUUUCCUUCCCCGCUCUCAAUCCCCACGCUUACCCCGCGUGGUCGCCGCCUCUCCCCGCCCUCCUCAUCUCGCCAGAGUCGCCACUCUGCCCAGUCCCGUGCUGGAGUUCAGCCAUACGGGGAGAGGAUCCACAAUGCGGCAAUAGAGGAGACGCGACAAAGGGGGCGAGUAUUCUCCCCCCGCCCCGCCCUAGCCUUGCCGCCUCCUAUUCUAUGGCGCUGCACACGGCAGGCCCGUGCCUCCCAUCCUGCGGCGCUGCAUAGCGGAGAGGCCCGCACGCUCUAGAGGGGCGUCGGCGCCGCUUGAGUGGCCUAUGCUUCCUCUCCUCUCCAAUCGUGACUGCCUCGACCUCGGACCUCACCAUCACAAUCCAUGGCUAUCUAUGAAGGUAGCCAUUGACAAAGAUCGAGGGUGCCUCCCUGCCAUGGGUGCUCCUGCUCGUGGUGGUUGCCCACAUCUCGGCGGCGCGUGGGAGCUAGUGUCCAUGGCCAGAGCCGGACUACUUGCCCACGACCUCACCCACCAGCCCAUCUACACUCACUCUUGAAGGUGGAGAAGCAGUGCACACCCUUGUCUGAGAUUAAGGAUUUGGCAGUGCAUCCAAAGUUCAAUUUGGCUGCAGUGAUUUAUCAAGAUAUGUUUGCAACAGAAGCUGCAAAGAACAAAGUUGAAUACAUAAGGGAAACGAGGCGACCUUUUGAUGUACUACAGUGGCUAGGGGGUUGAUUUAAGCAUAUGGAUGUGUUUUUCCUCAUUUUGCUAUAUGCGUUCUUAUUCAAAAUUCUUAGAUCAGCCCCGUGGUUGAAAUUGCUGAAAACGCUUUAUUUUGCUUUAGUUGGAUCGUACAGGUUAAAUAAUGUUCUGGUAUUGCAAAUUGUUGUUUUAAAGGAGAAGCUUCUAGCUCUGGGUUCAUCCAAAAAAAUUAGCAGAGCACAACAGUUUCAAGAGCAGUAUUUGAGGGGUAGAAUUUUGUAUUUCCAUUUACUACGCCACCAUACUUUCUUAGGUGUUUUUCGGUGAUCUAGUAGCUCCGCUAAAUUUGAGGAUCUGCAGAGCACCUAUUCCCCUGCUUCGGGAUUUUUAACUUGUGCUCCACCAACUCCCGAAGCAAGAGUGUGGAGCGGAGGAGAGCCGAGCAGGCCCUUAGUUGCACACAAUAUCUAUUAUUGGUUGGAUUUCACCUUUUUUCUUUUGUUUUUGUCAGCCAGAACAAGCUAUAAGCCUAUACCUAUCUCAUAUAUUGCAAGGAAUUCACAAAGUAUGUGCCUCUUUUUGGUAGCUUUCAGCUUGUAUUUAUGUCCUUGCAUGUAUUGCACGUGAGAAAAAUAUGCAUUCAUUUUGCAAUAAAAACUAACAGGCUCUUUGGGAUCUUCAUUCCCAAAAGAAUGUUGCUCUUAACCUAUGUUGGUUCUGUCAUACUGCAACCUGCAUCAAAUGUGUUCCAAGCAUCAAAGCAUGCUUGCAUCGUCAAUUUCAGCCCUUUGUUAAUAUAUUCUAUAUAUUAUCAAUUUGAGCCCUUAUCAUUGGUUAAUUAUGCCAGCCAAUCUUGUUUUUCUAUGCUGUAACAAACAUCUUAAUUAUCUUGUGAACAAUUUAUGCAACAUUUCAUGGAGGGAUGUGGUCAAAAUGGUCCCAUAAUCCCCUAUCGCCUCUCAAAAAUCUCUUCCGGUGGUGAUUCAGUCUUCAUCCGUAGUCACUAUAUCAUCAAAGAUGAUUUUGCUGUCUCGGGCGUACAAAUUAUAAAUAACAAAGAUUAUGAUGGAGCCAAGGCUGAUCUGUGGUCAUGUGGGGUGAUUCUUUUUGUCCUCAUGGGGGGCUACCAUUCGUUUGAAGAUUCAAAAUUUCAUGCUUCAUUAUAAGAAGAUAUACAAUGUAGGAUUCAGUUGACCAUCUUGGCUCUUGACAAGCGUGAAGAAGCUCAUCAAGGAGAGAAUGGCCAUUGUAGAGCUUAUGAAAAAUGAGUGGUUCAAGAAAGGAUACCAACCUCCUAGGUUUGAGAUAAUCGAUGUCAAUCUGGGUGACAUCAACUAUGUUUCCAAUGAAUUCGGGACCCAAAACAACUUGUUGUCAAGAGAUGUGAAGAAAGUCUGGCAUUGAUGACUGCAUUCGAAUUGAUAUCUACCUCCUAGAGACUCUUAUCUGGCACACUCUUUAAGAAGCAAACAUAUUUGCGUCGAGGUUUUACCAUAGGUGGAAGAAGCAACAUAGCUCGCCAAAACUCAGAUACUUUUGGCAGGAGAGUAUCUAAGGAUGUUGCUAUCAGUAUAUAGUGCGAGUUUCCAAACUCCAGCUGUGCUGCCUGCUGGGGGGAAGGACAAUCUUUCGAAAUCUUCACCUGAUGUGUUCUGCACUGGUCUACAUUUAUGUUAUUGUUGUGUUCUUAUUUGUCUCUUUUGUGAUAGUUUAAGGUGAAAACAGAAUAUUCAUAAUUGUGACAUGGACUACAGACUUUCCAUAA